rnacentral:rRNA from 1 species
AUGAAGGAAUUAAUCCCACAAGAGGGAAGAUGGAGCAAAGGAAUACAUGACAGAGGGAAGGGAAGGGGUGGGGGAAGACGAGUCGGAAGUGGAGAUGGAGGCCGAGGCAAUGGCGCAGCGGCAACGGCGACGGCACGAGCAACCAAAGAAAGAGUGAGACACACACAAACAGGAAGGCGUGAGGAGGCAAGAAGAACGGAAGGGUUUGGGCGGCGGAGAAGAGGAGCAAGAGGGAGGUGGCGGUCGACGGUGGCGGUGCCGCCGCGAGGCGAGAAGAGGAGCAAGAGGGAAGUGGCGGUCGGCGGCGGCGGUGCCGGCCGCGAGCCGGAAUUGGGCUCCUACCUGUGUGUGACGGUGCUGGAGGGGGAUACAAGAUGGGAUCGAUGGGGUUGGGAUUCGAUCUCCCUAUCUGUUAGGUAG